rnacentral:piRNA from 1 species
UGUAAACGUUAAUUGAAUCUU